ensembl:processed_transcript Gm36814 predicted gene, 36814
GACAGCCUGCUCAGCCCCUACCCCCUACGACCCCUUAUGAGAGGACAGUGAGCAAAAGAGGAUCCUUCCUGAUGCCAAGAGUGUAUGAUGUUCCAUCACAAAAGGUUCUUAUGAUGCAACCUUCACAGAGAAGUACCUGAGAGCCUUUUGUGCUUGUGUGGAUUUACUUGCAAUGGAUCUCUUAUGCAAAAUACCUUUCCCUUCUCUGCCAGGGUUUCUCGGUGUAGAUAUGGCUGUCCUGGAACUCACUCUAUAGAUCGAGCUGUCCUUAAAUUCAGAGAUCUACCUGCUUCUGCCCCAAUGGGUUUCUCUGUGUAGCCCUGGAUGUCCUGGAACUCACUCUGUAGACCAGGCUUGCCUCAAACUCAGAAAUCUACCAGCUUCUAUCUCCCAAGUGCUGGGAUUAAAGAGAGAGCACCUUGGUUCUUCGUUGGGGAAUUGCUAUUCUCUAUUCUCUGGUGUCUGCUGUUUUAAUGGGCCCAUCCGUCGAGGUGUUCCUUCUCUGUUAGUCAAGGAGCAGCCACGUGAUCCCAGCUAUGACAAUCCAAAUCUAUCAUCCGGGGAUUUAAUUCUCAGUGUUAGGAGCUCCUCCAGGCAAUCAGGAAGAUACAGGCUUUUACUCAACAUGCUAACCAUGGCACGACCUGAUUUCUGAUGGCUAUCAACAUAACUUCGUUCCCUUUUGCUUUUCUACUUGGUCCUCUUCACCAGCUGACCUGAUCAAUUUAUCCAACAACACAUGCUGAGGACCUACUAAGCACGGGGUCUGUGGACAUAAAAUGGAAUUGGACAUGAAAUACACCCUGCAGAGCAGAUGGACACAUAAGCAACAUGGCAAUGAGAAGUGACAAGCACACUACUACAACCCAGCUGGCACAGAUGGUGGAGAUUUGAUAGGCUUGCUUCCACCAUCUUAGCAAGAACAACCUUGUCUUCCAAUUAACCUUUCAAAGGCAACAGUGAUGAACAUCUUCCUGUGGAAUAGCAACCUCAGCCUGGCCUUUCCCUUGAUGAUGCAGUAGGGGACCCUCAUCUUUCAACACAGGGAAGGCAAGAAAACCAUCUGCCCAAUGGGGUUUAUGUCAUGGGCAAUCACCAACAGCUGAGCCUUCUUUUCUCUACCCAGGGGCAUGACAAUCUGAGACAACUUGUUCAGAUGUGAUGAGCUAUGACAAGUGGUGGCUUGCAUCACAACCCAACAUCAGUGUGUACAGGACAUCUCUUGCAAAAUAUCUACCUUGAUACCCAAAAUUGUAUCAUUUAUUCCAAGCCUGAGGCAAGAGCAGUGGGAAGAAAUCAAGGGAACAUCACAGAAGAUGGGACAGAAGAACUUUAGGAUGCAACAGAUAAAGAGGAUUGCCAUUAAAUACUGUCUUCUGGAUAUGACAGGAAGUACAGUGUCACGUGGGCAUGCACUUGCGCAGUAACUGAGAUGACAUCCUGAUCCGUAGGUAAAAAGACAAGAGACCCUGUGCCUGACAUGGGCUUGUGAAACCUCAAAUCUUAACACCGGUGACACACUUCAUUCCACAAGAGCAGACCUAAUCCUACUCAAACAUUUCAACAACUAGGGACUAGAUCUUUAAAUAGGUGAGCCUAUGGGGGGAGGGGAGCAUUCUGAUUCAAACCGCUACAGCAUCCUAUGACAGAUGAAUGCACUGGAGGGACUCUGCUUACAUGACAUGAUAUAUUCUAUCAGCAGCCAUCACAGCAACUAGACUGAAUGUAAGGCAGAAAUAAACUUCUAUCAUAUUUGA